rnacentral:tRNA from 1 species
GCGGAUGUGGUGGAAUUGGUAGACACGCUAUCUUGAGGGGGUAGUGUCGAAAGACGUGUGGGUUCGAGUCCCACCAUCCGCACCA